UACGUAGGGGCUAGCGUUGUCCGGAGUUACUGGGCGUAAAGGGCGAGUAGGCGGCUUGUUAAGUCAGGUGUGAAAUUCCAAGGCUCAACCUUGGAACUGCGCUUGAAACUGGCAGGCUUGAGGACAGGAGAGGGAAGUAGAAUCCCCGGUGUAGCGGUGAAAUGCGUAGAUAUCGGGGGGAAUACCAGUGGCGAAGGCGGCUUCCUGGACUGUACCUGACGCUGAGGAGCGAAAGCUAGGGGAGCAAACAGGAUUAGAUACCCUGGUAGUCCCUGAG
rnacentral:rRNA from 1 species